CUCAGUCCCUGCAGAACAGUUUAAAACUGCAGCUAGGAGGAGCCCUGGUCAGCCUGUGGGGGAAAGGAACCUGAACAGAGAAUUCUCCAAGUUGCAGCAGCUGUAGCCAGAAGAAAGGAUAUCAGUUAUCUUCCAAGAACCAACUGCAAGCAUCCUACAAAACCCAUCAAAAUGAACAAGAUCAUCCUCUAUGAGCAUGCAAACUUCCAAGGUUACUCCAAAGAGCUCACCUCUGAUAUCAGCAACCUGGGAUAUGUUGACUGGAAUGACUGUGUCUCCUCUGUGAAGGUUUUUGGACAGCCCUGGGUUGCCUAUGAACAUCACAACUUUACAGGCAGGCUUGAGGUCUUUGAGGAAGGAGAACAUGCUUUUGUUGGUGGGUCUAUGAAUGACAAGAUCACUUCUCUCCAGCUGAUUACUGAAAACCUAAGUAAUCCCCAGAUCACACUUUAUGAACAUGUUAAUUAUCAAGGAAACUCCAAGGUGGUGAAAGAAAGAACCAACCUUGCCAGGGGAUUUUUCAAUGACCGAGUGUCUUCCCACAGAGUCCAGAGAGGUGCCUGGCUGUUGUGUGAGCAUAGUGAUGGAAGUGGCUUUCGUUACAUUGCUCGGGAUCAUGAAAACCUUCCACACUAUGGAGCUCUAGGUUUCAAUGACGCACUUUCAUUUCUUCGUCCUCUGCGUCCUGGGAGACAUUGCAACUGACAGGCUGAACAGCCUGCCACCAUGGAGGUCCCUGGGAUAGGAAGUCCUUCCCCCUGGGAAAGAAGGAGUCCUGGAGUUCCGUCCAUGAUUUCACUGCAUUCCUUCAUACAUCACAGAAGCAGCGUGUGUUAGAAAGCUUCACUCAGCCUGCACUGAGCACGGUAGGUUUGUUUCCUGACACUUACUCCAAGGCCUGGCUAAGACUUUCUCAAGGGACUCAGCUUUGCAUUCUCCUUUUUUCUGCCAUAACUGCAGGCUAUUUCCAGGAUACUUCUUCUAUCCCUAGAUACUUCAUGCAACCCUGAUUACAAAUUGUAUUAAGGGGCCUCCUGGCCUGAAACUACUACUGCUUUUGCAUUUGACCCCUUCUUGCUCUGUUUUUCCUUCAGUCCUUGUUGCCGUAUUGCCUCUCUGAUGUGCCAUGGCCUAAGCCCUAGAUGUUAUAGGCCUGAUACAAAAUAUAUAAACACGGAUACCCUCUUUUAAUUGGAAGUGCAAGACAAGGGAAAUGAAUAAUCACUCUGGGGAAAUUCAUGAAGUGACCCUGGACUGAGCUGAUUCAUUAUCAUCCAAAAAAAGAAUAAAAAGAAUAGUUAUCCAUACUGAUGAAGUACAGGAAGUCAACAAAAGAGGUUGAUCUUCAGAGAGUAAGAGAAUUCCAGCAUUUCAAGUGUCAGGCAGUGAGAAAGAUUGAAUCCAUCCUUAUUCUCUAUUUGUGGUGGAUAUGGGAACUUGAACAUUACAUACAACCAGGAAGGGAUAAAUAAGCAAGCCACAAAAAGUUUUUUAAAAAACUGAAGAGUGUUGUGUCUCGUGAUGAUGAUCUCUCCUCAGACAAUCAUUCCUGAAAAAGGCUGAUAUCUGUGUUGGUAGUGUUCAUCACCAGUGGACUGUGAGAAAGAAAAACAAGGCCUUCUUUAAGCAUGUUUCUACAGUAUAAUCCAAAAACGGAUCUAAGCUCCAACUGUAAUGAUAUUUGUCAAAACCAUUCAUUACAUGCCCCAUCCUCCCUGACACUCUCAUGUCUGCUUUUGAGGGAGAAAAAAAAUAAAGAUAUUUUCCUCUGCUAA